rnacentral:tRNA from 2 species
GCGCAUGUAGUUCAACGGUAGAACACCGGGAAUGUUACCCGGAAGCAACAGGUUCGACUCCUGUCUUGUGCUCCA